UACGUAGGGUGCAAGCGUUGUCCGGAAUUAUUGGGCGUAAAGAGCUCGUAGGCGGUCUGUCGCGUCUGCUGUGAAAACUCAGGGCUUAACCCUGAGCUUGCAGUGGGUACGGGCAGACUAGAGUGCGGUAGGGGAGACUGGAAUUCCUGGUGUAGCGGUGAAAUGCGCAGAUAUCAGGAGGAACACCGGUGGCGAAGGCGGGUCUCUGGGCCGUAACUGACGCUGGAGGAGCGAAAGCGUCGGGGAGC
rnacentral:rRNA from 1 species